CCUCGCUGCAGCAAACGGAAAGGGUUAGGGUUAGACCCCAGGGAUUAUGUUAAGUAACCCAACAUUAUAACGGCCAGACCUCCUUUUUAAAAAGAUGCUGAAGUUUGUCACCUAAUACAUAUGAGUGACCACAGUGGAUUGAGUCAUCACCCACUAUGAGAAUGUCCUGGAGAAAUUCACCAAGUUUGAAUUCAUGAAGGGACUUUCACCGUUAUUAACAGACCACAACUAUUGCAAGAACAGCUAUAAUUUCUGAGCAUUUCUGGACACUUUCAAAGAGCUGUUUCCAGGAAGGAAGAUCUCCCUGUUUCCAGAGCAUUACAGGAAGGCUAUAAUGAAGGAGAUGGCUGACACAUUCAAAGCAAAAAAAAAAUAAAAAAUUUUAGGAUUCUUUAAAAACCUAAAACAGAAUUACUUAUCCUUUAACUUAUGAAAAAAGGUUCUUUCAAUCAGUAUUUCAGAGUUACAAUAUGCUGGCCAGACGUUAAAGUGUCUGUUUGAAAAGCAGGUAAUCUUUUGUUUUAUUCCCUUAUACAAAGGGUUUGUUCUACAGCUAUGAUGGUACUUAUAAAUAGUCCAGUGUAUUCCACCUUAUUUGUGAUAAAACUUUGUUAACAUAGCAUUUGAGACUGUAAUGACAUCUUCAUAGGUCUUGCUGCUUGUUUCACUUCAUGUAAAAGAAAUUAUUAAUGACUAUUAUUAAAUCAUUUGACAUUGUAAUAAAGCUUGAUGCAAUCUUUA